AUUGAACGCUGGCGGCAUGCUUUACACAUGCAAGUCGAACGGCAGCGCGGGCUUCGGCCUGGCGGCGAGUGGCGAACGGGUGAGUAAUACAUCGGAACGUGCCCAGUAGUGGGGGAUAGCUCGGCGAAAGCCGGAUUAAUACCGCAUACGACCUGAGGGUGAAAGCGGGGGAUCUUCGGACCUCGCGCUAUUGGAGCGGCCGAUGGCAGAUUAGCUAGUUGGUGGGGUAAAGGCCUACCAAGGCGACGAUCUGUAGCUGGUCUGAGAGGACGACCAGCCACACGGGGACUGAGACACGGCCCAGACUCCUACGGGAGGCAGCAGUGGGGAAUUUUGGACAAUGGGCGAAAGCUUGAUCCAGCAAUGCCGCGUGUGUGAUGAAGGCCUUCGGGUUGUAAAGCACUUUUGGCGGGAACGAAAAGGACUGUGCCAAUACCACGGUUCGAUGACGGUACCCGCAGAAUAAGCACCGGCUAACUACGUG
rnacentral:rRNA from 1 species